rnacentral:rRNA from 1 species
CCUACGGGAGGCAGCAGUGGGGAAUAUUGGGCAAUGGGCGCAAGCCUGACCCAGCAAUGCCGCGUGAAGGAAGAAGGUUUUCGGGUUGUAAACUUCUUUGACAGGGGAAGAGCAGAACACGGUCCCCUGAAAACAAGCCACGGCUAUCUACGUGCCAGCAGCCGCGGUAAUACGGAGGUGGCAAGCGUUUUCCGGUAGUACUGGGGGUAAAGGGCGUGUAGCCGGGAAAGCAAGUCAGAUGUGAAAUCCGGAGGCUCAACCUCCGAAUUGCAUUUGAAACUGUUUUUCUUGAGUACUGGAGAGGCAGACGGAAUUCCUGGUGUAGCGGUAAAAUGCGUAGAUAUAAAGAGGAAUACCAGUGGCGAAGGCGAUCUGCUGGACAGCAACUGACGGUGAGGCGCGAAAGCGUGGGGAGCAAACAGGAUUAGAUACCCCUGUAGUC